CUGUGCCACCAUGUGGGUCCUGGUGCUGUGGCAUGGCUCCCAGUACUGUGGCGUGGGUCCUGAAGUCAUGACGUGUGUCCCAAUGCCAUGUGGGUCCCAGUGCCAUGACGUGGAUUUCAGUGUCACAGUGUGGGUUCUGGUGCCACAAAGUGUGUGUCAGUGCCAUGGUGUGGGUGUCAGUGCCACGGUGUGGGCAUCAGUGCCACGGUGUGGGCAUCAGUGCCAUGGUGUGGGUGUCAGUGCCACGGUGUGGGUGUCAAUGCCACAGUGUGGGUGUCAGUGCCACGGUGUGGGUGUCAGUGCCACGGUGUGGGCGUCAGUGUCAUGGUAUGGGUGUCAGUGCCAUGGUGUGGGUGUCAAUGCCACAGUGUGGGUGUCAGUGCCAUGGUGUGGGUGUCAGUGCACGGUGUGGGUGUCAAUGCCACGGUGUGGGUGUCAGUGCCACGGUAUGGGUGUCAGUGCCACGGGGUGGGUGUCAGUGCCACGGUAUGGGUGUCAGUGCCAUGGCGUGGGUGUCAGUGCCAUGGCGUGGGUGUCAGUGCCAUGGUAUGGGCGUCAGUGCCACCGCGGAGGCCCCAGUGCCCUGUGAGUCCCAGUGCGGUGGCACUCUCCAUCCCGCCAUUGUUCCACCCUUUGAAGUCGGUGUUUCCUGGCGGGUUUGUCCCAACCCGUCUGUGCCGCUGCUUCCCAGCCAUAAAUCACCCAGCACGGGGGUUCGAUGCCCACGUGCCCACGGCCACAGCCUGGCAAGGGGUUCCCACCGAGUCCACCUUCACAUGGAACCUGCCAGGGCAGGGCAAGGACUCACUGGAGCUCCGUGGUACUGUCAGGAUGGACAUCACAGUGGUCCCUUCCCCAUGGACCUCCCAUCCCCCCUGACUCCCUAUGGCAUAACGGGAUGUGGAUAACCCCGGGGUUAGGAUCUGGGGCAAAUCACAGCAAGAUUGGAAGUGCCCAUGACAGCCCAGCCGAUGUGCCAGGGCUUAGGACGGUCCCUCCACUCCUGUCUGGCUGCCCCCAGCGCCCCGAGGCUUCCGUCCGGGCCCAGCGCUGACGGCACGGCCGUUCCCUCCGCUAUUCCCAGCAUUUCCUG
rnacentral:lncRNA from 1 species